rnacentral:lncRNA from 1 species
CUCAUGCAGACAGACAGUGUGUAGCAUGACCUGAGCCUCACGGUGUCCUCUUUUCUGUACCUGCAGGGGACAGGAGCAUCCGGUGAAUGCGACCAGGCCAUGACGAUGCUCACUGUUGUCCGUAAGGAAGACGACUUCGCAGGUUGCGAAGACUCGGACCCAUAGAUCCACCAUCCGCAUCUUCAGGCCUCCAUUCCUGAAAUCUUCCUGGAAGCCUCUUCAUGAUCUUCAACCUCAGGAAGAGACAUCAGAGAAAAACUGCCCUUACACAUCCCCUGAAGGGACCCCUUCAGGUACUGUUUAAAAACAAAGCAGUGUAACUCCUGGGAGUUCACCCUUGGCUUCACAUGUCUCCACUAAAAUAAAUAAA